rnacentral:rRNA from 1 species
GCAGCACUAAGCAGGAGAUAAACUUCUUCUAAUGCUAAAUAUAACCGUGAGACCGAUAGCGAACAAGUACCGUGAGGGAAAGUUGAAAAGCACUCUGAAUAGAGAGUUAAAGAGUACGUGAAACUGCCUAGGGCCCAAGCCCGUUGAACUCAAUUAUCCGAGCGGCGAUAUUCAUGUGUGGGAGGGGGCAACCCUUCCUGCAAGGCACUUAUCGACGUGCUGGACAUUGCGAUCCAUUGUGCGCACCCAUACACAUUCAGCAACAGCCACCGGAUCCGCUUCGCCAGUCCCGUAGUAGCGACGUUCAGUUAUCCUGAAGGCCUAUGUCGCAACCCGAGGCUGGGCGGUACCGGUGCGCUGCUGAAGGCGCGAUGGACUCACCCGAACCGGGCUGGUGGCACCGUAUACGACUCCCGUAUACACCGUACCUUGGCUGCCUCAUCCACCCGAUCAGCAAUGCCAUACAGUUGAGAUACCUACGGGACC